UACGAAGGGGGCUAGCGUUGCUCGGAAUUACUGGGCGUAAAGCGCACGUAGGCGGCUUUCUAAGUCGGGGGUGAAAUCCUGGAGCUCAACUCCAGAACUGCCUUCGAUACUGGAGAGCUCGAGUCCGGUAGGGGAGCGUGGAAUUCCUGGUGUAGCGGUGAAAUGCGCAGAUAUCAGGAGGAACACCAGCGGCGAAGGCGGCGCUCUGGGCCGGAACUGACGCUGAGGAGCGAAAGCGUGGGUAGCAAACAGG
rnacentral:rRNA from 1 species